AGAGUUUGAUCCUGGCUCAGGACGAACGCUGGCGGCGUGCUUAACACAUGCAAGUCGAACGGAGAUUUAGAGUAGCUUGCUACUCGAAGAUCUUAGUGGCGGACGGGUGAGUAACGCGUGGGCAAUCUGCCCGUAAGUGGGGGACAACACUGUGAAAACGGUGCUAAUACCGCAUAACAUCAUUAGAGUGCAUACUGUGAUGAUCAAAGGAGAAAUCCGCUUAUGGAUGAGCCCGCGUCUGAUUAGCUAGUUGGUAGGGUAACGGCCUACCAAGGCGACGAUCAGUAGCCGGCCUGAGAGGGUGAACGGCCACACUGGAACUGAGACACGGUCCAGACUCCUACGGGAGGCAGCAGUGGGGAAUCUUCCGCAAUGGGCGAAAGCCUGACGGAGCAACGCCGCGUGAGUGAUGAAGGCCUUCGGGUUGUAAAACUCUGUCUUCAGGGAAGAAACAAAUGACGGUACCUGAGGAGGAAGCCACGGCUAACUACGUGCCAGCAGCCGCGGUAAUACGUAGGUGGCAAGCGUUGUCCGGAAUUACUGGGCGUAAAGAGCGCGUAGGCGGGAAUUUAAGUCAGGAGUGAAAACUGUGGGCUCAACCUACAGCCUGCUCUUGAAACUGGAUUUCUUGAGGGUAUGAGAGGAAAGCGGAAUUCCUAGUGUAGCGGUGAAAUGCGUAGAUAUUAGGAGGAACACCAGUGGCGAAGGCGGCUUUCUGGCAUACAACUGACGCUGAGGCGCGAAAGCGUGGGGGCAAACGGGAUUAGAUACCCCGGUAGUCCACGCCGUAAACGAUGGAUACUAGGUGUAGGAGGUAUCGACCCCUUCUGUGCCGUAGUUAACACAAUAAGUAUCCCGCCUGGGGAGUACGGCCGCAAGGUUGAAACUCAAAGGAAUUGACGG
rnacentral:rRNA from 1 species